rnacentral:RNase_P_RNA from 1 species
CGAGUCGGCCGGGCGGCCGCGUCGGGUGCCGCCUCCGCCGUGCGCGGAGCAGCGGCCCCGCCGAGGAAAGUCCGGACUCCACAGGGCAGGGUGGUCGGUAACACCGACCCGGGGCGACCCGCGGGAAAGUGCCACAGAAAGCAGACCGCCACCGGACACCCCGGUGGUAAGGGUGAAACGGUGGUGUAAGAGACCACCAGCGGCCGGGGCGACCCGGCCGGCUCGGCAAACCCCACCUGGAGCAAGGUCAAGAGGGAGGUCUCGGCCUCCUGCGCAGGCGCUUGAGGGCGGCCCGCCCGAGCCUGCGGGUAGACCGCACGAGGCUGCCGGCAACGGCAGCCCUAGAUGGAUGGCCGCCGGCCCUCGCGGGCCACAGGAUCCGGCUUACAGGCCGACUCGCCCA